GGAGGUGUAACACAGAUGGUAAAAGGUUUGCUUAGUAUGCAAAAGAUCAUGAGUUCGAUCCCUCAUGUUUUCA